rnacentral:rRNA from 1 species
GACGAACGCUGGCGGCGUGCUUAACACAUGCAAGUCGAACGAUGAACUUGGAGCUUGCUCUGGGGGAUUAGUGGCGAACGGGCGAGUAACCCGUGAGUAACCUGCCCUGGACCCUGGGAUAACUUCGAGAAAUCGGAGCUAAUACCGGAUAGGACCUUGCACCGCAUGGUGUGGGGUGGAAAGUUUUUCGGUUUGGGAUGGACUCGCGGCCUAUCAGCUUGUUGGUGAGGUAAUGGCUCACCAAGGCGUCGACGGGUAGCCGGCCUGAGAGGGUGACCGGCCACACUGGGACUGAGACACGGCCCAGACUCCUACGGGAGGCAGCAGUGGGGAAUAUUGCACAAUGGGCGCAAGCCUGAUGCAGCAACGCCGCGUGCGGGAUGACGGCCUUCGGGUUGUAAACCGCUUUUAGUAGGGAAGAAGCCUUCGGGUGACGGUACCUGCAGAAAAAGGACCGGCUAACUACGUGCCAGCAGCCGCCGUAAGAC